AAUGGUCCCAUAUCUACAAUGAAUGGCCCCAAAUCCACAACAAAUGGCCCCAAAUCCACAACAAAUGGCCCCAAAUCCACAACAAAACACCCCAAAUUCACAUCAAAUGGACCCAAAUCCACUAGAAACGACCCCAAAUCCACAACAAAUGGCCCCAAAUUCAUUGCAAACAGCCCCAAAUCAACAGCAAAUGGCCCCAAAACCACACAAAUGGCCCCAAAUCUACAAUUGGCCCCAAAUCCACAAUGAAUGGCCCCAAAUCCACAACAAAUGGCCCCAAAUCUACAAUAAAUGGCCCCAAAUCCACCACAAAAUACCCCAAAUCCGGAACAGAACAACCUAAAUCCACAAUGAAUGGCCCCAAAUCCACAUCCAAUGGCCCCAAAUCCACAACAAAUGGCCCCAAACCAACAGUAAAUGGCCCCAAAUCCACAAUGAAUGGCCCCAAAUCCACCACAAAUGGCUUUAAAUCCACCACAAAUGGCUUCAAAUCCACCACAAAUGGCCCCAAAUCCACAGCAAAUGGCCCCAAAUUCACAACAAAUGGCCCCAAAUUCACAAUAAAUGGCCCCAAAUCCACCACAAAAUACCCCAAAUCCAGAACAGAACACCCUAAAUCCACAACAAAUGGCCCCAUAUCUACAACAAAUGGCCCCAAACCAAUAGUAAAUGGCCCCAAAUCCACAUCAAAUGGCUUCAAAUCCACCACAAAUGGCCCCAAAUCCACAAUAAAUGGCCCCAAAUCCACAAUGAAUGUCCCCGAAUCUACAAUAAAUGGCCUCGAAUCCACAACAAAAUACUCCAAGUCCCCUUCAAUGCCCUGCAAGCCCCCACCCUCCCAUUGCUACAACAGCCCCAAAUCUGCAGGAAACAACCCCAAAAUGACUGCAGAUGCCCCACAUCUGCUGCACGUGGCCCCAAAUGGGCAGGAAUUGACCCCAAAUGUGACACAAAGAGCCCCAAAUCCUGAUGAAAUGACCCCAAAGUGAGGCCAGAGCACAACCCUGGUUG
rnacentral:lncRNA from 1 species